CAAGAUUCUAGAGCCGGUAGAGAUGACAGUUAAUACAACAUCAGAUGGUACAAAGGAGGCUGGGCUCCUUCCUGUGUUCAAUGUCUUCGUUGUGUUUCCUUUAGAUGCCAGAAAAUAGAGAGCCAACUGUGUUCCACCACAUACACACAGUAGAAACAGGUUCUAUUAGUGGAGGCAAGAGACAGGGUCUGUUCACCCUCGAAAGAGAAUUACUAUCCAGAAGUCUAACUAACUUGGCUCCUGAAGCUCUCUGCCAACAACUUUAUGGUCAAACUUAUUUAUGCAAUGGGAAGUUACAUUGAAAACACUGUCUCUGGUGAUGGGUGCAUCCACAAAGUCAUAACAGCUGUGGUUACCUAUAGAAGACCUGUGUAAGAUCAGACCACAUACAGGUCCCACAUAGAUGGGGAGAUACUUUCCAGACCCCACCCUUAAUGAGAAGCCACUGGAAGUUGACAUUACUGUGGGCAAGAGAAUUGUUCUUCUUUGAGGAUGUGCCACUGACAGGACUCCUAUCUUCCCAUGAAAGCCCCACAGUCAUGCUUAAGGGUGGCAUGUACUGGAUUUUGUGGGUUAUUCAACAAACACAUGGAGUUAGGAGGGUGUGGGGGAAAAUUGGAGGAAAAAUUGAAAUAUGAUCAUAUUUCAUUGUAUAAAUGGCUAAAAUUCUUAAUAAAGAAAAAAUUUUGCAAAGAAAA